AACGAGACCUUAACCUGCUAAAUAGCCCGUAUUGCUUUGGCAGUACGCUGGCUUCUUAGAGGGACUAUCCGCUCAAGCGGAUGGAAGUUUGAGGCAAUAACAGGUCUGUGAUGCCCUUAGAUGUUCUGGGCCGCCCGCG
rnacentral:rRNA from 1 species